GUCCCAGUUCGGAUUGUAGUCUGCAACCCGACUACAUGAAGCUGGAAUCGCUAGUAAUCGCGGAUCAGAAUGUCGCGGUGAAUACGUUCCCGGGUCUUGUACACACCGCCCGUCACACCAUGGGAGUCGGAAACGCCCGAAGCCGGUGGCCUAACCGAUAAGGGAGGAGCCGUCGAAGGCAGGUCUGAUGACUGGGGUGAAGUCGUAACAAGGUAAC
rnacentral:rRNA from 1 species